AGCCCUAAACCCCUAACCUUUACCUUUAGUUCUCUUCACAAUUCAUAUUACAUAUUUACACUCUCAACGAACAACGGAAACACAACAAUAAUGGAUGAUGAAUCCACUAUACCAACGGCAAACGGAGAACGAUGACGACAUUAAAUCCACCAGACCAACAGAGAAUGACAACUAGUAGUGAAUUAGGAAUUGGUCAUGCUUCUACUCCUCCUACUCAAUGAUUAGGAUUUUAGAUCAUCUUUUGAGUUGACAUCUAAGUGGUUCAAGGCUUCAAGCGAUGUGGCACAUUUUCUUUGUACAAGCAUAUCAGGAAGUGCAUUAUAAAAUAGAAAAAGAAAAUAAUUCAUAUUUGGAUAUUUAUGCUACUGUCCAAGCGAUGUUAGCUUGUAAGAUGAUUUGUCCUCAUGUUUGUAAGCUAAGUAUUUCGCUAUUUUCUGGCUUACUACUGUUUUGGCGAGGCUACUGCUACAAUAGAUGACUAAUUGCUAAUAAUUUUGUAAUGCCAUUUAUUAAUCUGUUAUUGUUUUAUGAGUUUUAAGUUUUUUCA